rnacentral:rRNA from 1 species
AUUGAACGCUGGCGGCAGGCCUAACACAUGCAAGUCGAACGAGUGGCGGACGGGUGAGUAAUGUCUGGGAAACUGCCUGAUGGAGGGGGAUAACUACUGGAAACGGUAGCUAAUACCGCAUACCCUCGGAUGUGCCCAGAUGGGAUUAGCUAGGAGGGGGGGUAAUGGCUCACCUAGGCGACGAUCCCUAGCUGGUCUGAGAGGAUGACCAGCCACACGGGAACUGAGAAACGGGCCAGACUCCUACGGGAGGCAGCAGUGGGGAAUAUUGCACAAUGGGCGCAAGCCUGAUGCAGCCAUGCCGCGUGGAUGAAGAAGGCCUUCGGGUUGUAAAGUACUUUCAGCGAGGAGGCGUUACCCGCAGAAGAAGCACCGGCUAACUCCGUGCCAGCAGCCGCGGUAAUAC